CCUACGGGAGGCUGCAGUGAGGAAUAUUGGUCAAUGGGCGCGAGCCUGAACCAGCCAAGUAGCGUGACGGAUGACUGCUCUAUGGGUUGUAAACUUCUUUUAUAAAGGAAUAAAGUGAGGCACGUGUGCCUUUUUGUCUGUACUUUAUGAAUAAGGAUCGGCUAACUCCGUGCCAGCAGCCGCGGUAAUACGGAGGAUCCGAGCGUUAUCCGGAUUUAUUGGGUUUAAAGGGAGCGUAGAUGGGUUGUUAAGUCAGUUGUGAAAGUUUGCGGCUCAACCGUAAAAUUGCAAUUGAUACUGGCAGCCUUGAGUACAGUUGAGGUAGGCGGAAUUCGUGGUGUAGCGGUGAAAUGCUUAGAUAUCACGCAGAACUCCGAUUGCGAAGGCAGCUUACUAAGCUGCCACUGACAUUGAUGCUCGAAAGUGUGGGUAUCAAACAGGAGUAGAUACCCGAGUAGUC
rnacentral:rRNA from 1 species